GCCACCUUAGCUCAGUUGGUAGAGCAGGGGUUUUGUAAACCUCAGGUCGUCAGUUCGAAUCUGACAGGUGGCUC
rnacentral:tRNA from 2 species